CUAGCCUCUGCCUCUGUGACUGGAGCUAAUCCGCAGCCUCAGGAAAGGAAAUGACACCAGGUCUCCGCUCCUGAAACCAAACAUGAGGUUCCAAGAAAUUGGAUUGAAAACCUUCUAGUUUAGAGUACUGGUCGGGCGCUCUGCCCAUGUGCGCAAUAAGAAAAUGUUGAAAGGACUACACGGGUCAGUAAACCUGAAUUUGGCCAACUUCAAAAAAAAUGUAAUUCAAAUGCAAGGAGCUGGAAGCAGAUGAGACCCUUCAGAGCCUGAGUACAGAGUGAAAGAAAAAGUGAGGAACCUGUUUCUUGCUUUUAGACAUUGUAACCCCGUAACAUCACCAAUCACAAUCAGAUUCAUCGUACUUCCUCCCUUGGCAUGUAGUGAAGAAAGAGAGGUACAAGUCAGAAGUUUUCUUCAAAUAUUUCCCCAAGGAAGAAAAAGAGGGAUGCUUGGACCAAAGUUCUGUCCAUCCUUUGGACAGAGAAAAAAAGCGAGACAGUAAGUUUACCUUAAGAAAUACUAUCAGAAGAAACAUGGUCUAUUAGGAAGCAGCUUAAGAGAGAAAGAUGUAUUCCACAAAGAUACAGAAAAUCCGAGGUCAUGACGCUGGCUGGUUAUAUAAUCUCAGGAAAGUUCCUUGUCCUCAAUUGCCUCGUAAUUAAAUGGGGAACAAAGUCCUUCCCUCUACCUCCACUCUUUCAUCUCUAUUUUCUGAGCACAUGGAGACUGACACAGGCAUUGCCCUCAAGGAGCUAAAGUCUUAGGGUGCUGGAGAAAAUUACUGUUUUCUGUCAUUUCUAAAAUCUGAGAUCUAUAAUCAUUAAAAACUACAAUCUACCUCCUGAGGAAGCCAGAUUUCCUUU